GAAUAGUGUGAGUUGAGAGCGGUCUACCACUCAAAAGUUCGCUUUGAUAAUAAAGCUGUCACCUUAUUUGCCAGUUGAUGUCUUAAAGUUGCAAGUUCCAUUUCCACAGCCCAGCCAUAAACAAAUAUAUCGGUUUUAAAUGGAUUCUUCACACUCUGGCAGCUUGAUCACCACUUUCCAUACCCACAAUUGAUAGAAAAAGAUGAAAGAUAAGGGAACAAAGGGUGAAAAUGUAACAGCUAGAGAGAGCGCUCCAGGGUGGUUAAAAAGCUGCCUAGUGGCUACAGGAAGACACUCAGGCAGCAGCCCCGACACCAGGGUCAUGCCAGAGGGGACCCUCCAGGGCUGCCAAGCUCCUGAGGCUCUUACUCAUGCUUGAAGGUGAGCCUUUCGAAGAGCUACUUGCCCAACCCAGCCUGCAGAGGUGAGUCAGGUGGUCGCCAUCUCCUUGAUGAGUUUCACUUCCUCAUCCAGAAAGCACUUCUCCCGGAAGCUACAGAACCCGGGGCAUGCAGCUCCCAAAGCGCCUGUUUCAGGUUCUCUAGGAUCAUGGCAACUUUCUUGGUCUCAAGGUUUUACCCCACUCAUCUUGAAACAGCUUCUGCAAGUCCUCGAAGAGGGCACUGGUUUCUUCAAAAGAUGCCGGGUGCCCUUAAGGUUCUCCUCAGCCAACUCUUCGAAUGAGUGUCCCAUGCCCUCCAGAGCCACGUCCUCGAG